CACGCCACUUUGCCAGUCUCUGUGCCUGAGUAUAAACCAGUAGGGGCUAAGAUGGAACCAGUUCUAGGAAGCAGGGCUGCCUAGUUGGUGGGCAACUUAUGUGCCGAAAGACUUGGAAUAAAU